UACGUAGGGUGCAAGCGUUGUCCGGAAUUAUUGGGCGUAAAGAGCGUGUAGGCGGCCCGACCAGUCCGCUGUGAAAGUCCAGGGCUCAACCCUGGAAUGCCGGUGGAUACUGUCGGGCUAGAGUCCGGAAUGGGCGAGUGGAAUUCCUGGUGUAGCGGUGAAAUGCGCAGAUAUCAGGAGGAACACCAAUGGCGAAGGCAGCUCGCUGGGACGUGACUGACGCUGAGGAGCGAAAGCGUGGGGAGCGAACAGG
rnacentral:rRNA from 1 species